GCCUGCCUUGCUCAGUUGGUAGGGCAUGAGACUCUUAAUCUCAGGAUCAUAGGUUUGAGCCCAAUGUCAGGUG
rnacentral:tRNA from 1 species